GUGAAGUUUUAUUCUUGCUUUUUCGUUCAGUUUGUGCUUGUUUUAUAUGUAAGGUUUUGCGUGAGUUUACCUUUAUUCUCUAAAUGGGUCUAUGGGUAUGGUGUGUUAUUCUCAUUAGUUAUUAUUGGUUGGUCAAGUAUUCUUGUAUCUAGCAAUUCAUUUUAGUUUCGGUUAAAUUUUGUGCCAGCAGCCGCGGUUAUACCUUGGGGGCAUUUGAAUGUGUUUGGUGUUGUAGUUAUUAUGUUUAGUGUUUAAGUUGAUUUAUUUUGGUUGGUUUAAUUAGGUGAAAUUUUUAUUUUUAUUUUAUGUCAUUUAGUUUUUUGGAGGCUAUGAAAUUCCUUUUGUAGACUAGGAUUAGAUACCCUAUUAUUUUGGAUCGUUAAUUUUUGUGCCUGAGUAGUAUUAGUUAUGUUCUUGAAACUUAAAGAAUUUGGCGGUAUCUUAUUCCAUCCAGAGGAAUCUGUCUCGUUAUCGAUAGUCCACGUUGGACCUUACUUAGUUGCUUUGGUUUGUAUACCGCCGUUUAUUGAUUAUCUUUUUAGAGUUUAUUUAAUUUUCUGGUUUCUUUAUUUUGAUUAAUUUCAGGUCAAGGUGCAGCUUGUUUCUAAGUGGAAUGAUGGAUUACAUUGUUAUUUGCUUAUUUGGAUUGUUGAUUUUAAUAUUGACAUGAAAUUGGAUUUGGUUGUAAUGUUUUGUAGAUUAUUGUCAUGAUAAUUGGUUCUGGGAUAUGUACACAUCGCCCGUCGCUCUCAUUUUUUGUUAAUGAGAUAAGUCGUAACAAAGUGGUUGUACCGGAAGGUGCAGCUGGAUUGAU
rnacentral:ncRNA from 1 species